UACGUAGGGGGGCAAGCGUUGUCCGGAUUUAUUGGGCGUAAAGAGCGUGUAGGCGGCCAAGCAGGUCCGCUGUGAAAAACUCGAGGCUCAACCUCGAGACGUCGGUGGAAAACCGUUUUGGCUAGAGUCCGGAAGAGGAGAGUGGAAAUUCCCGGUGUAGCGGUGAAAAUGCGCAGAUAUCGGGAAAGAACACCCCGUGGCGAAGGCGGCUCUCUGGGACGGUACUGACGCUGAGACGCGAAAAGCGUGGGGGAGCAAACAGG
rnacentral:rRNA from 1 species